rnacentral:rRNA from 1 species
GCGUGAGUGACGAAGGCCCUAGGGUCGUAAAGCUCUUUCGCCAGGGAAGAUAAUGACGGUACCUGGUAAAGAAACCCCGGCUAACUCCGUGCCAGCAGCCGCGGUAAUACGGAGGGGGUUAGCGUUGUUCGGAAUUACUGGGCGUAAAGCGCACGUAGGCGGACCAUUAAGUUGGGGGUGAAAUCCCGGGGCUCAACCCCGGAACUGCCUUCAAAACUGCUGGUCUUGAGUUCGAGAGAGGUGAGUGGAAUUCCGAGUGUAGAGGUGAAAUUCGU